GAUGAACGCUAGCGGCAGGCCUAAUACAUGCAAGUCGAGCGGUAAAGGCCCUUUCGGGGGUACACGAGCGGCGAACGGGUGAGUAACACGUGGGUGACCUGCCCUCAGCUCUGGGAUAAGCCUGGGAAACCGGGUCUAAUACCGGAUAUGACUCCAUGACGCAUGUUGGUGGGGUGGAAAGCCUUGUGCGGCUGAGGAUGGGCCCGCGGCCUAUCAGCUUGUUGGUGGGGUGANGGCCUACCAAGGUGACGACGGGUAGCCGGCCUGAGAGGGCGACCGGCCACACUGGGACUGAGACACGGCCCAGACUCCUACGGGAGGCAGCA
rnacentral:rRNA from 1 species